rnacentral:lncRNA from 1 species
UCUUUUUUUCUUUUUUUUUUUUUUUUUUUUUUUUUGGUACUGGGGAUUGAACCUAGGGGCACCUUACCACUGAGUUAAGUCCCCAACUCUUAUUUAUUUUUUUUAUUUUGACACAGGGUAUCACUAAAUUACUUAGGGCCUCACUAAGUUGCCAAGGCUGGAUUUGAACUUGUGAUUCUCCUGCCUCAGCCUCCUGAGUUGCUGGGUUUACAGGCAUGCGCCACUGUGCCCAGAUGCUGGUGACUUCUUUGCAGGUUUUUGUCUUCAUGAAAUCCAACAAAUGAAACAAUGGAGGGUGGGAAUGAAAGAGUAGAAUUUAUUCAAGUGGGAAGAAAAGAAACAUAACUCUCAUGGGGCAAGGGGAACAUGAGAGCAAGUUGCUGGACUAGUGGUUAAUAUAGCUACCAGGUAGGGUCAUUGAUCACUAUCUCCUCCAAACAGGCAUUAGAAAAGUGUUAAGGUUAUUGGUCCAUGACCUUCUGAUUGGUUGGGCCCUUUUAGCCCUUGAGUCUGUAGUCAUCACUCAGGUCUAUUCCACUUUCCUUUUCCUGCUGUUCUGGGAUAAAGGAGUUGAAUAGAAUGUUUGGAAUUUUUCUACAGGUUAAUUUCAUGGAAGGGUCUUUACAUUUAGAGAAGCCAUUUGGGGGGCCCAUUGCCCCUAACUGCCUGCCGCUAUUUUUACUAUCUAUCUAUCUCAUUUAUUUACCAUUACUGAUAGGGGACAGACAGAUGCCAGUGGUGAAACAUGAAGUUAAGGGAAUAAUUCUAUAAAAUGGGCCUGCUGUGCUGACCCCCACAUGCUUUCUUUUUCAAGAAGCACAAAAAAGCAAUUUUCCAUCAGCUCUGCCUGGCCUAGGUGGAUGGGAUAUAUCACAUUCCUCAAUAAACACCUGCUAUCUGCAGGAGAAAUCCAGGCCCCAAAUAAUGUCCAUAAGAGGAACCCAAGUUACCCUGAAGUGGGAGACUUUUGUGAACUUUUCAUAGACCACAUCCUGAAGCUCAGGGGGAUAAGGAUAAUUCCUUCUAACUAUAAAAUCUGUAAGGAUUUAUGGUUAAGAAUAUGAUUAGACCUGGAAAGCAUGGGUCAAGGUGACCUUUAGUUGUCAGGGCAGAUGGGACUUAAAAGUCUGAUGUAAUUCUGCUGUCAGUCAAAAGUCAAGAUGUGGAACUGGGCGGGACUUUCUGGAAAAAUCUCUGGGAUCUCCAAUAAAACUAGAAUCCAGGAGAGGGACACUGAGAGGCUCACCCUCUCCCUUGAGAGUGUCUCCUUUCUCUAUUCCUAUCCCUUCAAUAAACUCAUGUCUGUUACUCUAAGCAA